GAGCACUAACCAGCAAGCUUCUCCAGGUGAAUGCAGAGAGAGAAGCUGAAGUUGAGCUUGACCAACAUUCCUCCUUUAGAGACAAAAGGAAUUUAACAAGUCUCUUCCAGUAAGUCUGUCACCUGUCACCUGUUGCUUUUGACCAG
rnacentral:lncRNA from 1 species